GUCUGGGAAACUGCCUGAUGGAGGAAAAAAACUACUGGAAACGGUAGCUAAUACCGCAUAACGUCGCAAGACCAAAGUGGGGGACCUUCGGGCCUCAUGCCAUCAGAUGUGCCCAGAUGGGAAUAGCUAGUAGGUGGGGUAACGGCUCACCUAGGCGACGAUCCCUAGCUGGUCUGAGAGGAUGACCAGCCACACUGGAACUGAGACACGGUCCAGACUCCUACGGGAGGCAGCAGUGGGGAAUAUUGCACAAUGGGCGCAAGCCUGAUGCAGCCAUGCCGCGUGUGUGAAGAAGGCCUUCGGGUUGUAAAGCACUUUCAGCGGGGAGGAAGGCGAUAAGGUUAAUAACCUUGUCGAUUGACGUUACCCGCAGAAGAAGCACCGGCUAACUCCGUGCCAGCAGCCGCGGUAAUACGGAGGGUGCAAGCGUUAAUCGGAAUUACUGGGCGUAAAGCGCACGCAGGCGGUCUGUCAAGUCGGAUGUGAAAUCCCCGGGCUCACCCUGGGAACUGCAUUCGAAACUGGCAGGCUAGAGUCUUGUAGAGGGGGGUAGAAUUCCAGGUGUAGCGGUGAAAUGCGUAGAGAUCUGGAGGAAUACCGGUGGCGAAGGCGGCCCCC
rnacentral:rRNA from 1 species